CCUCCAGCUUUUUGUCCACCAGGAUUUCCCAUAUCAUUUUAUCCUGCCUUUUGGAAUUGUGGUAUCCCUGGUGGUUGGAACAUCCCUUUGGUGUCUCCUCAAUCAUCUUCUUCAUCAUCAAAUCAAAAGGCUCCAUCUGGUCCUAAUUCUCCUUUGGGAAAGCACUCGAGAGACGGGGACACACUUAAGCCAGAAGACCUAGAGAAAGAAGAGACGGCAAAGAAUAGAAAUGGACAUGUUUUAGUUCCUAAAAUUCUAAGGAUUGAUGAUCCAACUGAAGCUGCAAAAAGUUCUAUAUG
rnacentral:misc_RNA from 1 species